CAGUUGUUGGGGCAUCUGCUCGCGCCUCGCAGAAGAAUAUCAGUCGUGACGGGCAAGUAUUUUGUGACAGGGAAUUACUGCUGCUGUGACUGGGGUGCCACGAUGGGACCCACGUGAGCAUGAACUUGGAAAGGCUGCACAGGGUCUCUCUACCCGUCUUCCAUUCCAGUCUUUCUCUCUCUUUCCUGGGACCUUCCCUUCAACUACAUCCUGCGUUUUCCAAGUAUUUACUGAGGCAACGGUGUCUGAGACAGAUGAUGAUUCUGAGGUUCAAAGCGGUUCUGUGACUUCUCCAGCAUCACCACUAACAAGUGGAAGUGUCUAACGUGACGUCCGUGUCUUCAGCGCUGUAACAUUGGAAGAUGAAGCCUUUGGAAGUUCAGUAGGUCAUCAGGAAGAGAAGCCCCGUUAGGAGUUUGGAAUAUAGAUAGAAGAAAAGACAGUGGAGAGAAUACCUACCAUGCUGUGUGAGGAAACAAGGGGAUAUCACCUGCUAGCCAAGAAGAGGCUCGCCCAGGUAGUCAGAAGCACAUUGUGGUGACUGUAGACUCUGGCUCUUAGUUUGCUUUUCGUUGCUGUGAUAAAACUCUAUGACCCAAAGGCAGGAAAGUGUUCAUCAAUCAAGAAAAUGCCCUAAAAAUUGGUCUACAGGCUAAUGCUAUAGAAGUACUUUCUCAAUUGAGAUUCCUUUUUUUCCAAUGACAGCACCUUGUGUAGAAGUGACAUAAAAACUAGCCACCCCAGGCUCCCACGAGAAACUCAGCUGUUUGAAUAAAAUUGGCAGAUGGAGGGUC
rnacentral:sRNA from 1 species